AGCAAAAAAACCAAAACACUCCGUAAGAAGUAACUUAACACGAAAGGCAGCAACAAAUAGGUACUAUUCUCGGCACCACCAUAAAACAGUUUGAUGAAAACCGAACCCCAAACUACGCUACGAGCAUUCACUUCAGCGUGCCAAGCGUGCAGGGGGUGGCCUGUGGCAUGCAAGUCACACUAGUAUCGUAAACUUGCCGAGAUAAUACUAAACUGCACCAAACUCCACUGCACUGACUACUGCUUCAAUUGUUGCCAGCACUCACGAACGUCCAACGGUAAAGCCGGAUGAAUGAGCGGUGCGGUGCGGUGUGCCUCCUAGUGCGGUUCGGAUGUUUGUAAUACACGCCGGAUGACUUAAGGCUGUUUAAGGUUGAUUACUAUGUAUACAAACACAAAAAACGACGGUGAGACUCACCGAAGAGAACGGUGGUUGGGUUUGCCGAGUAAACUCAAGCACACAUCGCUGGUUCGGUUGAUUUGCGAUUAAAGAAAUUAGCGGCCCAGCAAGAACCAAAAUGGAGGAAGUAUAGUCUCGAGAGAAGCAAAAAUAAGACUGCCGUGGGCAAGGAAAAGUAUUGAAAUGUUGUUUCUCGUACGUAGAGUCUGCUUUUGGUACCCACGAGUCAAUCUAGGGCACUGUUCAAUUUAAGAGCCAUUGUAAAUCUUGAGUAGAAUUAUUUUAUUAUUAAUAAACGA